rnacentral:tRNA from 1 species
AUUAUUUUGGCAGAUUAGUGCAAAGGAUUUAGAAUCUUUAUAAGUAGCGAGAGCUUACAAAUAAUA